rnacentral:rRNA from 1 species
AACGAACGCUGGCGGCAUGCCUAACACAUGCAAGUCGAACGAGACCUUCGGGUCUAGUGGCGCACGGGUGCGUAACGCGUGGGAACCUGCACUUAGGUUCGGAAUAACUCCCCGAAAGGGGUGCUAAUACCGGAUAAUGUCUUCGGACCAAAGAUUUAUCGCCUUUGGAUGGGCCCGCGUUGGAUUAGCUAGUUGGUAGGGUAAAAGCCUGCCAAGGCGACGAUCCAUAGCUGGUCUGAGAGGAUGAUCAGCCAGACUGGGACUGAGACACGGCCCAGACUCCUACGGGAGGCAGCAGUGGGUAAUAUUGGACAAUGGGCGAAAGCCUGAUCCAGCAGUGCCGCGUGAGUGAUGAAGGCGUUAGGGUUGUAAAGCUCUUUUACCCGGGAUGAUAAUGACGGUACCGGGAGAAUAAGCACCGGCUAACUCCGUG